UACGGAAUGUGCAAACGUUAUUCGGAAUCACUGGGCUUAAAGAGUCCGUAGGCAGCAUGUUAGGUGAGGUGUGAAAUCCCCCGGCUCAACCGAGGAAUUGCGCUUCAAACCGGCGUGCUUGAGGAAGAUAGAGGUGGGCGGAACUGAUGGUGGAGCGGUGAAAUGCGUUGAUAUCAUCAGGAACACCGGAGGCGAAGGCGGCCCACUGGGUCUUUUCUGACGCUGAGGGACGAAAGCUAGGGGAGCGAACGGG
rnacentral:rRNA from 1 species